GAACGCCCCCGAGACUUCGGUCUCCAUGGGGGAGUGGAGAACGGGUGAGUAACACGUGAGAAACCUGCCUUGAAGAUCGGGACAACCACUGGAAACGGUGGCUAAUGCCGAAUACCUUCCUACCGUCGCAUGGCGGUUUGAAGAAAUGCUCCGGCGCUUCAAGAGGGUCUCGCGGCCUAUCAGCUUGUUGGUGAGGUAACGGCUCACCAAGGCAUCGACGGGUAGCUGGUCUGAGAGGACGAUCAGCCACACUGGGACUGAGACACGGCCCAGACUCCUACGGGAGGCAGCAGUGGGGAAUCUUGCGCAAUGGGCGAAAGCCUGACGCAGCGAUGCCGCGUGGGGGAUGAAGGCUCUCGGGUCGUAAACCCCUUUCAGCAGGGACGAAAAUGACGGUACCUGCAGAAGAAGCCCCGGCCAACUACGUGCCAGCAGCCGCGGUAACACGUAGGGGGCGAGCGUUGUCCGGAUUUAUUGGGCGUAAAGAGCUCGUAGGCUGUUCAGUAAGUCAGGUGUGAAAACCCAAGGCUCAACCUUGGGACGCCACUUGAUACUGCUGUGACUAGAGUCCGGUAGAGGAGAUUGGAAUUCCUGGUGUAGCGGUGAAAUGCGCAGAUAUCAGGAGGAACACCAACGGCGAAGGCAGAUCUCUGGGCCGGUACUGACGCUGAGGAGCGAAAGCAUGGGGAGCGAACAGGAUUAGAUACCCUGGUAGUCCAUGCCGUAAACGUUGGGC
rnacentral:rRNA from 1 species